UCCACGACCCAGAUGGUUCCAUGAUUGAAAUCUGCAAUUGCGACAAUCUCCCAGUCGUCCCUCUCGCUGGAGAAGCUAUUCGUUCUUGCUCUCUCAUCAACUGCACCAUCCAGCAGCAGCAGCAGCAGAAGGAGCUCUUGAACAAGCUCUGCAAAUGAUGAUGAAAUGAAACACCGAUGAUGAUGACAUAUGUAGUGGUGUAAUGAAAUGUAUGUGUAAUGUUAUUCUAGUGUGAAUUUGUCUGUGUCACCUCUGUUGACAUGCAGCUAGCUAGCAGGGGGGAAUUUUGAAGUUUCCCCCUUCACUACUGAUGGAUGAUACAGAGUGCGUACGGAUGCAAAUUGAAUAAAUGUAGUAAUGAUUAGUUGUUUGUUUCAAUGUAUAGUUUCUUGAUCGCCAUCCUGUACACAUUGGCAAGAGAGAAAGAGAGGCAAUAAUUGAGGAGCUAGCUAUAAUUGUGGUUGUAUGCAUUUCUGCAAACACUUGGUGGGUAGGCCUGAAUUCCCCUACGUAACCUUGAACAUUUGACGUCCGCUUUCUUGUCAAAUUGUGGGUGGGGGAACUUUACUGCCGUAACUCAAUUACCCAGCUACCGCACUAUCGUUUGAUCGUGUCUUCUCUUCUCUCAAAGCCCAGACCCACAGCUUAAGGUAUUAUUCUAGUCGCAGAGUUAUUUGCUGAGUAGUU
rnacentral:lncRNA from 1 species